GUUUGAUCCUGGCUCAGGAUGAACGCUGGCGGCGUGCUUAACACAUGCAAGUCGAACGAACCUUCGGGUUAGUGGCGGACGGGUGAGUAACGCGUGGGAAUCUGCCCUCAGGAGGGGGAUAACGGCUGGAAACGGCCGCUAAUACCCCAUAUGCCGAGAGGUGAAAAGAAAUUCGCCUGAGGAUGAGCCCGCGUUUGAUUAGCUAGUUGGUGGGGUAAGAGCUCACCAAGGCGACGAUCAGUAGCUGGUCUGAGAGGAUGAUCAGCCACACUGGGACUGAGACACGGCCCAGACUCCUACGGGAGGCAGCAGUGGGGAAUUUUCCGCAAUGGGCGAAAGCCUGACGGAGCAACGCCGCGUGAGGGAUGAAGGCCUCUGGGCUGUAAACCUCUUUUCUCAAGGAAGAAGACAUGACGGUACUUGAGGAAUAAGCCACGGCUAAUUCCGUGCCAGCAGCCGCGGUAAUACGGGAGUGGCAAGCGUUAUCCGGAAUUAUUGGGCGUAAAGCGUCCGCAGGCGGCCCUGUAAGUCUGUCGUUAAAGCGUGGAGCUUAACUCCAUUUAAGCGAUGGAAACUACAGGGCUUGAGUGUGGUAGGGGCAGAGGGAAUUCCCGGUGUAGCGGUGAAAUGCGUAGAUAUCGGGAAGAACACCAGUGGCGAAGGCGCUCUGCUGGGCCAUAACUGACGCUCAUGGACGAAAGCCAGGGGAGCGAAAGGGAUUAGAUACCCCUUUAGUCCUGGCCGUAAACGAUGAACACUAGGUGUCGGGGGAAUCGACCCCCUCGGUGUCGUAGCCAACGCGUUAAGUGUUCCGCCUGGGGAGUACGCACGCAAGUGUGAAACUCAAAGGAAUUGACGGGGGCCCGCACAAGCGGUGGAGUAUGUGGUUUAAUUCGAUGCAACGCGAAGAACCUUACCAGGGUUUGACAUCCUGCGAAUCCCUUGGAAACGAGGGAGUGCCUUCGGGAGCGCAGAGACAGGUGGUGCAUGGCUGUCGUCAGCUCGUGUCGUGAGAUGUUGGGUUAAGUCCCGCAACGAGCGCAACCCACGUCUUUAGUUGCCAGCAUUCAGUUGGGCACUCUAGAGAGACCGCCGGUGGUAAACCGGAGGAAGGUGUGGAUGACGUCAAGUCAUCAUGCCCCUUACAUCCUGGGCUACACACGUACUACAAUGCUACGGACAAAGGGCAGCAAGCUCGCGAGAGUUAGCAAAUCCCAUAAACCGUGGCUCAGUUCAGAUCGUAGGCUGCAACUCGCCUACGUGAAGGAGGAACCGCUAGUAAUCGCAGGUCAGCAUACUGCGGUGAAUACGUUCCCGGGCCUUGUACACACCGCCCGUCACACCAUGGAAGUUGGCCAUGCCCGAAGUCGUUACUCCAACCCUG
rnacentral:rRNA from 1 species